GGCAUGUAGACAGAUGGAUCAUUCCAGUGACUACUCUAUCUUGUAUGGGUAAAGUAUGAGACUAUCCACAUCAUCAAUCAUGAAAACCAUGGCUAUUAUCUAUCCAUUUCUUAAGAAAAUACAAUUCAUUGUGUAGUUUUGUUACUGGAGAUAACCUAUACAUGUGAUCAAAGAGGCUUUUUCCGAACUGGGUGCUAAUAGGUU
rnacentral:lncRNA from 1 species